UUGCUUAAUUAAUUAACUCAAGCAUCUAUUAGGUUUUAAUUGUUUUACUAACCAUGAGACAUUUGUUAGGUUUCCCCCCAAGAGAUUAGAGUCAACUGCAGUAGGUUUGGUCUAUUUGCCUUUAUUAAAACAGGAUUGUGUUCUUUGAAUAAUAUUUUGGAUAAGCGUUUUGUAAUUAAACGCGGAUCUAGUCAAGGAUGACUCUUAAUGAUGAUGUUAGCAUUUUGUUUCCUUCUAAGAGUUCUAUGAAGGGAGUCUAUAGAUUUUACAUCAGGGCAAAACCACAUGAUUAACUUAUGACAAUUGAAUUAAAUGCGGCCCCUGAUUCAUCUGUACAUAUAAAGUAUGUUGAGCUUCUGCCGAAGACAAGGAGUUGGUUGAGCCUGAUGAAGCAUAAUGUCAGUUUUUUAGAGGCUGAACAUGGUGGCUGAAGCCUGAUAGUGGUUUGUCUAGAUUUGGUUGUUAUAAUUAAGCUAGCCUGUUCAGCAAUGUAAGCCCGAGCUCUAUGAUAUUUAACUAACUGUCUAAUUUUAGUGGCUAAUGUUUUAAAAUCUGUAUCUUUUUAGUAUGGAAUGGCUCUUCAAAUUCUUCAUAUAGUUUGAAUGUUGCUGUUAUGAUGAAAAUAGACUGUACUUUGUUAUUUGAAAAACACCCAAAAAGGUCUGGCUGGUGCUGAUGUAUACUAUGCUUAUAAUGAUGGUGAAGAAAAUGACGGUGAAGAAGAAGAGAGGCAGCUCGUUCAGGAGAGAAAAAAUCAAUAACAAUCACUCAAACUAGGAACUUGUGCAAAUAAUGCAAGAAAAUUUAAUGGAGGAACUUAUGGAGUUUUCAAACUUAUAAGAUUCUCAUGAGGUAUAGAUACUUUGUUGUUAGAUGCUAAUUUAAUUCUUGUAGGGAGGAGGUUUGUUCCUCAAAACGUGACUCGUGAUAUUAUAUCUAGGGUGAUCACGAGGAUGCCUAUUCCAGCUGAAAAGUGGAAAAUUAUCCGAUUGAAGCAAAGGAUGAGUUAUUUAAGGACUUUAUGGAUAAAUAUAAAUUUACAUCCGAUUAUGAUCGUAAUAUGGCAAGAACUGUAUGGGAAAGAACAUGCUUGGAUCGGUAUCCCGAUCAUUUUAAAAAUGCAAGAAAAAUAGCUUUACGAGAAGUGAACUCAACGAAUUUGGUCGACACUAAGGGUCAUGGUCCGAAAGGAAUGAAGGAAGAGAGGUAUGGGACGGUUUGGUUGACAUUUUGGUUGAAACCAGAGUGGAAGAAGAAAUCCGAUGCAAAUCGUUGUAACAGAGUUGCCUUGCACUUUAUUAUAGUUAAAAUGAUCAAAUGGUUCUAGUUCUGUUUCAUUCAUUGUUUUUGCUCAUAGUUGCUUCUGUGGUUCUGUUUCUUUCAUUAUUUUUGCUUUAGUUUUCAAUUAAUUAGUGUGAUUUCUCAUUAAAGAUGCAUAUUGAUUGUAUCAAAUGGUUCUGGUUCUGAUUCUGUUUCUUUCAUUGUUUUUGCUCAUAAUUGCUUCUGGUUCUGUUUCUAAUAAUAUGUCUAUAAGAUUGAAACUUAUUGAAUUCAGUCAAGAAAUACAUUGAAAAUCAUGCAUGAUGAGACAGAAAAUUGUUGCUGAAACUUGAAGUUGUAGAGUAAACUAAGGUCAACUGUUAAAUUUUCCAUGAUCAUCUAUAUAGAAAUGAAGCAUUUCUUUCACUUUUGGCUGCUAAUAAUUGAACAUUUUUGUUUACAAUUUGUCAUUGUUGUUUAUUGUUGAUUCUAUAAUGUAAAUUGUGGUUUAUGAAUACUUUUUAAAUGUGAAUUGCAGGAGGAGGAGUUGAAACAUACAGUUUCAUUUAG